GACAGAGGGGGCAAGCGUUGCUCGGAAUUACUGGGCGUAAAGGGCGCGUAGGCGGGAUGGCAAGUCGGUCGUGAAAUCCCUGGGCUCAACUCAGGGGGGUCGGCCGAUACUGCCGUUCUUGAGGGAUGCAGAGGAGACUGGAAUUCCCGGUGUAGCGGUGAAAUGUGUAGAGAUCGGGAGGAACACCGGUGGCGAAGGCGGGUCUCUGGGCAUUCCCUGACGCUGAGGCGCGAAAGCGUGGGGAGCAAACGGG
rnacentral:rRNA from 1 species